rnacentral:tRNA from 1 species
GAGGGUAUAGCUCAAGUGGUAGAGUGCCUGCUUAGCAUGCUUAGCAUGGGAGAUCCUGGGUUCAAUUCCCAGUACCUACU